AGUAUUAACAGUGUGAGAUGGAAGGAAGGUGCGAAAGUGGCUGGUCCAAAAUCUUGUCUAUUAACUGCAUCGGGUUGUCCUCAGGUACAUGGGCACAUGGGUAAAAGGGUGAGAAAGCUGAACAAAUUGGGCCACUCUACAUCAUAGCAAGUUGGAGCAGGACUAUUUUCCUCUUACAUAAAUACCACACUCUCAGUGAAAGGCCUUAGCUUAACUCUUAUAGUCUUCUAUGAACUCUUUUCCUACAGUUUCAUGCAUAGAGAGAACCUCUUCAUUUGACUCUUACUUUAUCAUCUGCUUUACCAUUUGAUUUGCUGGCACCUUCUACUUCACGGGAGCUGAAAAAAAUGGGAGAAACUGCUUUGUUCUCUGAGUAGAGUUCAGCAGAGAAAGAUAACAUUUUUUAAUCCUUUAUAAUGCCAGUUCCACUUGCCCCCUACCCUGCACCACCAACUCCUUAUACACCACCUGCUAAUGGUGCACAGAGUCAACUUGUCUGUUCUGGAUGUAGAAACCUUCUGAUGUAUCCAGUUGGAGCCACCUCUGUGUGCUGUGCUGUUUGCAAUGCAGUCACAGCAGUGCCACCUCCUGGCACAGAAAUGGCCCAGCUAGUUUGCGGAGGUUGCCAUACACUACUCAUGUACAUCCGAGGAGCGACAAAUGUGCAAUGUUCUUGUUGUCACACGGUGAAUCUAGCUUUGGAAGUCUCUAUUUUGUGGGUAAGCAUCAAGUGUGUAUUGAAUCAGCAAAUCAGGUGGCACAUGUCAACUGUGGGAACUGCAGGAUGCUACUGAUGUACCAAUAUGGAGCAAGAUCCGUGAAAUGUGCAGUUUGCAAUUUUGUAACAUCAGUUGGGGCCAAUGCGACAACAAGCACCACUGAGCAGAAGUUCAACACUGUAACCAUACAAUAGGAAGGUUGGUUUUGCUAGUUAUAUAUCGCCCUUAAGGAAUAAAGAGUUAUGAGAUUGGAGAGAAAACUCUUUUUACAUGUAUAGAGUUAUUUUUCCCAUGCGUGAUUGUAUCAAAUAUUUUUGUUAGAUUGGGUGUAUGAAAAUCCAAUUACUGAACGUUUAACUAAUUGAAAGUUAAGAGUGUUAUGCCCUAAAAACAUGUAUUAAAAGCGUGAGAUGGAAGGAAGGUCGAAAGUGGCUGGUCCAAAAUCUUUUCUAUUAA